rnacentral:rRNA from 1 species
ACGGGAGGCAGCAGUGGGGGAUACUGGACAAUGGGGGAAACCCUGAUCCAGCGACGCCGCGUGAGUGAAGAAGUAUUUCGGUAUGUAAAGCUCUAUCAGCAGGGAAGAAAAAUUCAAAAUUGACAGUACCUGACUAAGAAGCACCGGCUAAAUACGUGCCAGCAGCCGCGGUAAUACGUAUGGUGCAAGCGUUAUCCGGAUUUACUGGGUGUAAAGGGAGCGCAGGCGGUCCUGCAAGCCAGAGGUGAAAACCCGGGGCUCAACCCCGUGAUUGCCUUUGGAACUGUAGGACUUGAGUACUGGAGGGGCAGGCGGAAUUCCUGGUGUAGCGGUGAAAUGCGUAGAUAUCAGGAGGAACACCGGUGGCGAAGGCGGCCUGCUGGACAGAAACUGACGCUGAGGCUCGGAAGCGUGGGGAGCAAACAGGAUUAGAUACCCUGGUA